rnacentral:rRNA from 1 species
UACGGGGGGGGCAAGCGUUGUUCGGAAUUACUGGGCGUAAAGGGCUCGUAGGCGGCCAACUAAGUCAGACGUGAAAUCCCCAGGCUUAACCUGGGAACUGCGUCUGAUACUGGAUGGCUUGAAUUCGGGAGAGGGAUGCAGAAUUCCAGGUGUAGCGGUGAAAUGCGUAGAUAUCUGGAGGAACACCGGUGGCGAAGGCGGCUAUCUGGACGACAACUGACGCUGAGGCGCGAAAGCACGGGGAUCAAACAGG